UUUACUGCAAAAGUUAGUUAGGGUCAUAAUUUAAAUUCAUGAUAAAUUUGAAUGACAGUUCAAUUGCUUGUUAUUGUUGAGCAGCUAUGUUUUAUUUAAAGUGAGUGCAUUAAUUUCUUGAGCAGCUAUGUUUUAUUUAAAGUGAUGAAUGUUAAAAAGAUUUUGUAGUUUGAUGUUAUUGUUGGUGUUAGCCAGUGAAAUCCUUUGUUAAAAAGAUCUGCUAGGUUCACUUGGUGUACUCGGUGUUCUGAGAUGCGGCAACAAAAGAACAAAAGAAUGGAGUUAUAAUUUUAAAUUUGACGGGUUAGGGUCUCUGUUUCGUCCGCUUUCCAUUUCAAUUUCUCUCGCCUUCCAGUUAUGGCGAACCGUACAGACCCGUCGGCCAAGAGCAUAAGGGGGACGAACCCGCAGAACCUGGUGGAGAAGAUUGUACGGUCGAAGAUAUACCAGAACACGUACUGGAAGGAGCAGUGCUUCGGGUUGACGGCCGAAACCCUAGUGGACAAAGCCAUGGAGCUUGACCACAUCGGUGGGACCUUCGGAGGUAACCGUAAGCCCACGCCGUUUAUGUGCCUCGUGAUGAAGAUGCUUCAGAUCCAGCCCGAGAAGGAGAUCGUUAUUGAGUUCAUAAAAAACGACGACUACAA